rnacentral:rRNA from 1 species
UGAGUUUUGUAAAUUGAACAAAGCAAAAGAUUAUAUCCCAUAAAGUUCUAGAUAAAUGAUUGAUGAUGACAGUUUUUUAUCUAUAUGUCUUGGCUAAAUUUUGUGCCAGCAGCCGCGGUAAUACAAAGGAGACUUGUGUUAUUCAUCUUUAUUAGGUUUAAAGGGUACCUAGACAGUUUUUCUAGCGCUUUGCGUGAGAUACAAAACAGAAAAGCUAGAGUUUGAUGUAGGAGGUAAAUGAAGUAUUAAAAGUGUAGAGAUAAAAUUCUUUGAUACUCUUAGGACGGAUAAAUGUGAAGACAAACCUCUAUGUAAAAACUGACGUUGAGGGACGAAGGCAUUGUGGCACGAACAGGAUUAGAUACCCCAGUAGUCUUUGCAGAAAAUGAUAAGUGCCAUAGGCUUGAAGAAUAAAAUAUAAUUCAGGUUUAUCAAUGAAAGUGUAAGCACUUCACCUCAUGAGUAAUGGGGCAACCCAGGAAUUGAAAUCAUUAGACCGUUUCUGAAAACAGUAGUGAAGUAUGUUGUUUAAUUCGAUGAUCCGCGAAAAACCUUACCACAAUUUGAAUAAUAUUUAUUUAUAGAAUAUUACAAGCGUUGCAUGGUUGUCUUUAGUUCAUGUCGUGAGAUUUGGCUCUCCUUUAAUAGACGAAAACCCUUACUUUUUUUAUUCAAAAGUUGUUCUCCGUUACAUAGGAUAAGAUAACAGGGAU